GGGCGCUUAGCUCAGCUGGGAGAGCAUCUGCCUUACAAGCAGAGGGUCAGAGGUUCAAAUCCUCUAGCGCCCA
rnacentral:tRNA from 2 species